rnacentral:pre_miRNA from 1 species
UGAGUACUCCCUUCGUCCGAAAAAACUUGUCCUCCAAAUGGACGUACCUAGCACCAAGUUAGUACUAGAUACAUUCAUUUGAGAGACAAAUUUGGGACAAGCUUUUUCGGAUGGAGGGAUACAAG